rnacentral:misc_RNA from 1 species
AAAAAUGUACACCUCCUUUCUCUGCCUCAUUUAUUUUCUGUGUUUCCUAUUUCCCGUUCACUAAAUUCCUGGGUUUUCUUUCGAUUGGAUGUUUUCCCAAAAAAUCCUUACUGGACAUGCAUCUUUUUGUCUUCAUUUGCUUGGUUUAUGCAUUAUUCAAUGUUUUGUUUGCUGAUCUGAAUUGUUAAUUUAUUUAGAGCCCUAAAUGAUGUCACUGUUAACAACAAAGAUCAAUAUAUAUAUUCUUCUCACUAUCUUAUUGACAUAAUCCAUUUUAUUAUCUUAU